UCUAAGCGUUCCACACUGUCUCCAAAAGCCCAAGAAGGUCAGGUCACGGGGGAAGGGGACUGGCGUCAAAGCUCAGCCACAGAGAGCGAUGCAGGCACAGCUGGUACUUGACUCGGCCCUUCAGACUCCAGCCUUCUUUCCGUGCCAUCAUUCUGUGUCUUAGCCCCUCUCCAUCUCUGUUUCCACGUCUGCUGCAUGACAGUGUCCAGUAGAAUGAACAGGACAUCCAUGGGCCACAGUCUGCAGAGGAGAAUAAUGAACAGAGGACAUGCUGGCAUUCCCGGAGACAUGGGUCCCCAUCUGGUCCCAGUGAACAAGCCACCCAGGUCACCACCUCGUAUGUGUAGGGACGCUGAGGCCUCUCCAGAUCCACCAGUUACUUCAAGCAUGCAGUUUUGAUACCUGGAAGAAGGAAGAACAGGAACCACCUUGCCACCAGGAGGGUGAAAACCACAGUCUAGAAAUGAUGGUACAAAAUGAUAUCCUGAUUCCAUGAUGAUUUUGUAGAGCCAUUACACCAGACUGAACUUCCCACCUAAAACCUCUUGUUAUAUAUAAGAAAUAAACUCCUCCAUG